GACGAACGCUGGCGGCGUGCUUAACACAUGCAAGUCGAACGGUAAGGCCCUUUCGGGGGUACACGAGUGGCGAACGGGUGAGUAACACGUGGGUGAUCUGCCCUGCACUUUGGGAUAAGCCUGGGAAACCGGGUCUAAUACCGGAUAGGACUACGCGAUGCAUGUCGUGUGGUGGAAAGCUUUUGCGGUGUGGGAUGGGCCCGCGGCCUAUCAGCUUGUUGGUGGGGUGAUGGCCUACCAAGGCGACGACGGGUAGCCGGCCUGAGAGGGUGUCCGGCCACACUGGGACUGAGAUACGGCCCAGACUCCUACGGGAGGCAGCAGUGGGGAAUAUUGCACAAUGGGCGCAAGCCUGAUGCAGCGACGCCGCGUGGGGGAUGACGGCCUUCGGGUUGUAAACCCCUUUCAGCACAGACGAAGCGUAAGUGACGGUAUGUGCAGAAGAAGCACCGGCCAACUACGUG
rnacentral:rRNA from 1 species